GAUUAAAAAAAAAUCAAAAAAUAUUUUGCCUCAUAAAGAAUGAACAAAUGAGACAUUUACCUUUAACUAGGCAUACAAAUUGCAAAAACACCCUUUAAAUGAUCAAGAACACUAGAAAUCUGGUAGUAUUCUACCUUACAUAUUUCAAAGGCAUUAAACGCUUGAAGAAAACUUAUCUACCAGUUCCAGCUGUUGCCAGUGAGGAUAAGGGAAUUUUUUUAUUUUUAUUUUUUUCUCUUCUAGCAAAACAGUAAGUCUCAAAACUCUACUAUGUUACUGAAAAAUUCUAUAGUCUAAAUAGAUUAGGAUUCCCACUUUCAUGGCAUGCAACAGACCAGUUCUUCUGCUGAGAAUCACAAAAUUAAUCACAAAAACUGCAAUGCAAAUAUUUGUGAAGCAUUUUUUUAACUGUUUUUUGUGGGUUUGUAAACUUCAUUCCCACCUAGUCCUCUCAUCCUACUUAUAAAAUUUCGCCGUAGUUUAUAUUUUUACUCACAUUAUUAAAACAAACAAACUAACCAAACAAAAUCUCAAAAUACCUCUUUUAGAUAAGACUCUUUGCUUAAAACUUAAAUUUUUUUUAAAAUGCCAGGUUCCUGCCCAAUCUAAUAAGUAGUGUGCAGUUGAGUGUGUGUGGAUACCAGCAAAACUGAAUAUCCACUUUGAAGAAGACAUUUCAGUAUCAUGCUGUGAAAUAAACACUGUCAAGAGACAGCCUAAGGACAGAUCUAGAGUCCACAGAACAACCAGGAGGUCUAAAACAAACCAGUGCUGGAUUAUUUGUAAAAACUCUGGAGAAAAGCAGCCCAGAAUUGUGACUAACAAAAAGUUCUGAGUAUCUCCCAAAGAAUGAAAGUACUUCUACUGCAGAGUAAGACCACAACACAGUGAAAACAGAGUCCCUGAACUGGCACUGUGUGAACCAGGCACAUCCCCAGCAUGCUAGAAUAAUACACUCACCUUGUCCACAAUGCAGAUCUGCUUCUUGCUUUGCACAUCAAGAAUUUCUACUUCAAAGUAUGUGAUUUUUGAAUGUUUGAGCGUUGGUGAUGGUUUGAUUUGGCCAGCAGAGAGCACAAGCUGAGAGAAGUUGAGAAGAGAGCGUGACUCAUUGUGAGACAUGGACAGAGCUCCUCCAUCGGCUGCAGGAUCGCUCGUGUGUUCUGGAGCGCUGGGCUUCUGCCUCUGGUGCAUGGCGUGACCCCGCAGUAGCGAUCGUCAUAUCAACAGGGGACAGUUCCAGGGGAAAAUGUUUCCUCCCUGCAUCGGUUAAAUACAGCCACAGACUGAUGAGACACAAAAGGUCAAGUGGCAUUCCAUUUUAAGUGCACUGUCUUAUUUAGCAGGAGUGAAAACAAUGACUCUGUAAUCCAUGUCUAUAUUUAACCUGCCAUCAUGAUGUGCUGUAUUAGUGCUGCUAAUGAUUUUGUUUGUUUGUUUGUUUUAUUUAAACCAGCAUUUGAAACAACACAACUAGAAAUUCUCUAUCAGAAGAUGUCAGAUCCUGAAAUUCCAGAGCCCCAGGGGAAUCAGUAAUGAAUGGAGUAAAUUCCACUGUUACCUACUGAGACAGAUAUUUAAAGUAUCCACAUAUACACGAGACUGGAGUAUGUCUGCAUUUGAAAGGACCCACACCCAGCAACCAUGUUGCUACACAUCCUAUAUAACGUCAAUUGACAGGACAUGGGACCAAUUCUUUGGAAAGCAGUAAGAGCUGCAGAUGACUGGUCAUCACUGCCAUACAAAAGACACGGCUCCAACUGCUUUCUGUUGCAACUUUCCCCUGAGAGCAAACCACGUACAAGCACCACAGAUGCUGUAUCUGAGUCCAUCCAGUUUAGCGGUCUUUGUGCCAGAGCUCUUUGCAUUAUGUCAGCCCCAGGAGCAACUGUCUGUGCCUGCAAGUUUCUUUACAGAUAAGGAACCUGCUUUGCUGCUGUUGUUAAUACAGAGGACCUGGGACUGUCAUUCUGUUCUCAAAAAGAAGAUGAUUUCUCAUGCAAAAUACAGCAUGGAAAAAACUACUAAAGACACUUGAUCACUGUCUGUUGCAGGAGUUUUUUUGUAGGUUUAGUUAUUAGAAACUCGGGCUUGUAAUGAACAUUUGAAUUCACAGCUUUUCUCUGAAUUCACAGCAUUUAGAACAAAGCUGACUAACCACUGGUGUCAGCUUGUUGUAAGCUAAGCACGGGACACUACCUACAUAGAGGAAACCAAAACUCCCUCUAGCAACAUUUCUUUCAAAACACUUCCUUGCAGACUAACACCCAUUUAAGCCUAAAUACUUCGUUCUUCAUCAAGAAUAAAAAUACAGCUUUAAUGAACAGGGCCAAAAAAAAAAAAUUCUCUUGAUGUUACUCCCAGAAAACAUUUCUGUUUUCAGCUAGAUGUAGCUCUCAAGGAUAAAAAAGAAUCCAUGAAUCUGUCAGAACAGGAACAUAGCAGCCUUCUAUCUUUUUUUUUGCACAGCUUACCACCAGGUCUAAAAUAAUUUCUGCUUGUUCUGCUUUUAUAGUUCUUGUUAUUAUAUGCUAACUACUGCAGCACACCAUUUUAAAAACACUCCUCAACAGAGAGGUUUUUUCGAGAACAGUAGAGGUCCCAGGAGUGCCACACACACAGCCCAGCAGGUCCCCUGUUAUAGGAGAUGCACUGGCUGGAGUCAUUUCCAUUGGCACGAUGCGCAAACCUGUCGGAUCAGGAGACAGGCUGAGCUCCUCAGGCCCAUGCCUUAAGUUAGCACUGCUGAGAUGGUGAUAAAGUAGUCAGACUUCUUCACCAGCAAAAUCCUUAAAGGUUGUUUUAAUAAUGUUCUGUGUGUUGCUAAAGGGCAAGUUCUGUGCCCAAAGUUAAUGGUUUCCUACUUGAUGCCCUUUAGACUUUGAGAGACAAGCAUUUCAGAUUCAGUAGUUUCUCUCGUGAAUAUACUUUUCCAACUGUCUCUUGCAAAAUGCAACCCAGGAAGGCAAAAUAUUUAGCAGCAGAAUGUGCCUCAUUUUCAACCAUUCUGUCAGCUUUGUUUCAAAGAAGCUGAAGUACAGUUUACAUCUCUCCCUCCUGAAAUCCAACAACUGAUGGAAACAACACAGGACAACAUAAAAGUGCCAGUGGGGCAUCUGUAACUCCUUAAAAAAAACAGAACAAGCAGCAAGUCAUUAGUAAGACUACUGAAACCCACAAAUUAAAUUAUAUAUUUCUCCCCUGAGGAAAAUGGGAGACUGAGCAUCAUAAACUAUUCCAGAGGAAAAGACCAUCUGGGCAGAAUUUUGAAAAUCACAGCAAGUGCAUUAGCAUGGACUGGGCAUUUGGCCAGAGGGAGCUUACCAAAAACUGAAGGCCUCAGGGGGCUCAGUGGACAGUGACCUGAAGGCUGAGCUCAGAAACAACACAAACCGAAAAGAAACUCUUUCCAGCAGCCAGACAAAAUUUGGUUUUGCUUGAAUAACACCAGCAUGUUUGUGUUCUUGAUUAAAAGUAACCAAAUGAACCCGCUUAAAAAAUGAAAUAUUGUGAAACCUAAAAAGGAUAGUAACAUUUUAUGGGAUAAAAGACUUUGAGAGUUUUCAGUUUCGUCAUCUCAUUCAGAUGAUUUUAGCCUAGAAAUUAAUAAAAUACAGCCAUUCACACCAUUUGCCCCAGGAAACUGCUUUUUAUACCUUUCCUACAUACACAGUCAGUGAACAGAAGGUAAAUCAAGGAACCUUAAUCGAGCCUGGGAAAAAAAUCUUCCCCUUUCCAUGGAGUUGCAUACCUAAGGUUGGGCUCUCUGAACAUCUUUUAGAUGCCCACCACCAGAAACUCACAAGGAAUGAAAGAUCUGCUUUCUGAUCUGCUUUCAUCACCCCAUGGCCAAAAUUUUGGGAUUAGCAGACUUCUCAGAAAAGCUCUGACCUCUCCCUACUGAUAACACAGUGCCCAGACUCAGCAUGAUGUUCAAGAAAUGAGUGCUCCAGAGAAUUUCUGCGAAGGCAGCCCAGAUUGCUACUGGCUUUUUCUAAAUGGGUUGCAAAUCAGUGUCUAUUUCUGGUCUACUAUCAGAAUACCAGACUCCCUGUCUCCUUCAAUAUUUUCUUUCCCUACUGUAUAAAUGUGUGUGGUUUUGAUAAAACCACUGGACAAAAAAUACAAUUUAAUAAAACUUAACUCAUUUCCA